UAACAGUUCUCGUGCGAUCACGGAAGUUAAGCAACGUCGAGCCUGAUCAAUACCUAGAUGGAUGACACUUGGGAAUACCAGGUGCUGUAA